GACGAACGCUGGCGGCGUGCUUAACACAUGCAAGUCGAGCGGUAAGGCCCUUCGGGGUACACGAGCGGCGAACGGGUGAGUAACACGUGAGUAAUCUGCCCUUCACUCGCGGAUAAGCCUCGGAAACGGGGUCUAAUACGUGGUGUACACGGCUGCCUGCAUGGGUGGUGGUGGAAAGCGCUUUAGCGGUGGGGGAUGUGCUCGCGGCCUAUCAGCUUGUUGGUGGGGUAAUGGCCUACCAAGGCUUCGACGGGUAGCCGGCCUGAGAGGGUGACCGGCCACACUGGGACUGAGACACGGCCCAGACUCCUACGGGAGGCAGCAGUGGGGAAUAUUGGACAAUGGGCGGAAGCCUGAUCCAGCAACGCCGCGUGAGGGAUGACGGCCUUCGGGUUGUAAACCUCUUUCAGUGUCGACGAAGCCACGUUUUGGCGUGGUGACGGUAGGCGCAGAAGAAGCACCGGCCAACUACGUGCCAGCAGCCGCAGUAAAAC
rnacentral:rRNA from 1 species